AGAGUUUGAUCAUGGCUCAGGACGAACGCUGGCGGCGCGCCUAAAACAUGCAAGUCGAACGUGAAGCCCGAGCUUGCUCGGGUGGAAAGUGGCGAACGGGUGAGUAACACGUGAGGAACCUGCCCUGAAGACCGGGACAACAUCGGGAAACCGUUGCUAAUACCGGAUACCUUCGAGUGAUCGCAUGGUCGAUCGAAGAAAUGGAUUCCGCUUCAGGAUGGCCUCGCGGCCUAUCAGUUUGUUGGUGAGGUAACGGCUCACCAAGACGACGACGGGUAGCUGGUCUGAGAGGAUGUCCAGCCACACUGGGACUGAGACACGGCCCAGACUCCUACGGGAGGCAGCAGUUAGGAAUCUUGCGCAAUGGACGAAAGUCUGACGCAGCGACGCCGCGUGCGGGAUGAAGGCCCUCGGGUUGUAAACCGCUUUCAGCAGGGACGAAAAUGACGGUACCUGCAGAAGAAGCCCCGGCCAACUACGUGCCAGCAGCCGCGGUA
rnacentral:rRNA from 1 species